rnacentral:rRNA from 1 species
AGAGUUUGAUCCUGGCUCAGAACGAACGCUAGCGGCAGGCCUAACACAUGCAAGUCGAACGGGUGUAAGCAAUUACAUCAGUGGCAGACGGGUGAGUAAUACAUAGGAAUCUGCCUGGCAGUAAGGAAUAGUCACUAGAAAUGGUGAGUAAUACCAUAUACGCCCCAAGGGGGAAAGAUUUAUCGCUGUCAGAUGAGCCUAUGUUGGAUUAGCUAGUUGGUAGGGUAAAGGCCUACCAAGGCUACGAUCCAUAGCUGGCCUGAGAGGGUGACCAGCCACACUGGAACUGAGAACGGUCCAGACUCCUACGGGAGGCAGCAGUGGGGAAUAUUGGGCAAUGGGCGAAAGCCUGACCCAGCCAUGCCGCAUGAGUGAUGAAGGCCUUCGGGUUGUAAAGCUCUUUUAGUGGGGAAGAGAAUGACGGUACCCACAGAAGAAGUCCUGGCUAACUCCGUGCCAGCAGCCGCGGUAAUACGGAGAGGGCGAGCGUUGUUCGGAAUUAUUGGGCGUAAGGGCGCGUAGGUGGUCUUGUAAGUCAGAAGUGAAAUCCUGGAGCUUAACUUCAGAGCUGCUUUUGAUACUGCUUGACUAGAGUGUAAAGUAGGGUAGCGGAAUUCCUAGUGUAGAGGUGAAAUUCGUAGAUAUUAGGAGGAACACCAGCGGCGAAGGCGGCUACCUGGGUUACUACUGACACUGAGGCGCGAAAGCGUGGGGAGCAAACAGGAUUAGAUACCCUGGUAGUCCACGCAGUAAACGAUGAGUGCUAGAGAUUGGGGUUUCUCGGUCUCGAAGCUAACGCGAUAAGCACUCCGCCUGGGAAGUACGGUCGCAAGACUAAAACUCAAAGGAAUUGACGGGAACCCGCACAAGCGGUGGAGCAUGUUGUUUAAUUCGAUGCGACGCGAAGAACCUUACCACCCUUUGACAUGGGGAUCGUACCUCUAUGAAAGUAGAGGGUCAGUUAGGCUGGAUCCCACACAGGUGUUGCAUGGCUGUCGUCAGCUCGUGUCGUGAGAUGUUGGGUUAAGUCCCGCAACGAGCGCAACCCCUAUCCUUAGUUGCCAACAGGCUUGGCUGGGGACUCUAAGGAGACUAUCAGCGACAAGCUGGAGGAAGGUGGGGAUGAUGUCAAGUCAUCAUGGCCCUUAUAGGGUGGGCUACAAACGUGCUACAAUGGUCGCUACAACGAGAAGCAAUGCCGCGAGGCUGAGCAAAUCUCUAAAAGCGGCCUCAGUUCAGAUUGCUCUCUGCAACUCGAGAGCAUGAAGUCGGAAUCGCUAGUAAUCGCGGAUCAGCACGCCGCGGUGAAUACGUUCUCGGGUUUUGUACACACUGCCCGUCACGCCAUGGGAGUUGAUCACACCUUAAGACGGCGAGCUAACCCGCGAGGGAGGCAACUGUCCACGGUGGGAUUGGUGACUGGGGCGAAGUCGUAACAAGGUA